CAAAGAGAAUAACAUAAAUACUUAGACAUGAGACUGUGACAGAGAAAUAUGCACUUUCUUCUCCUUUUCUCUAUACUUGGGUUUUCUUGAGGAACAGUUUAAUAGGAACUUGUAAGCCCAUUAUAUUCAAUAAGCAUCGGGUUUUCAAUCUCCCCCUCUUGUUCCUUGUUACUUAGGUAACACUUAGGUAAGUAUGUUAAAAAAAAAAUGACUAAUUCCUGCUGUGUAUAGUAAGAGAAAUCAGAUCAUUCUAAAUCCCAAUUUCCCAUGAUAAUUUGAGGUACAACUUUAUUCCUACUCUAUUCAUCCUGUCAUGUUUUUAGAAUAAGGAUAUUAAAGAAAGCCAUCUUGGGUCUAAACUCUUACUUAAGCUCUUACUUUUUGACUACAAUUAAUACUGAAAUAUAUUUUUGAGUGGAAAUUGAUGAAGGAACUUAGAAUGGAUUAAGGAAGCUUUGACAAAUAAAGGAUCUCCCAGGU